rnacentral:rRNA from 1 species
AAUAUUGCGCAAUGGAGGAAACUCUGACGCAGCGACGCCGCGUGAACGAUGAAGGUCUUCGGAUCGUAAAGUUCUGUCCUUGGGGAAGAAGAUCUUCGGAUUUGACGGUACCCAAGAAGAAAGCCCCGGCUAACUACGUGCCAGCAGCCGCGGUAAUACGUAGGGGGCGAGCGUUGUCCGGAAUUAUUGGGCGUAAAGGGUGCGUAGGCGGCCUUUUAAGUCAGAUGUGAAAGCCCACGGCUUAACCGUGGGACUGCAUUUGAAACUGGAGGGCUUGAGUAUCGGAGAGGGUAGUGGAAUUCCCAGUGUAGCGGUGGAAUGCGUAGAUAUUGGAAGGAACACCAGUGGCGAAGGCGACUACCUGGACUGAUACUGACACUGAGGUGCGAAAGCGUGGGGAGCAAAC